rnacentral:rRNA from 1 species
AUGUUAAACGAGAAGACUUUAGAUAUGAUCCAGAGUACCACGGGACACGUGAAACCCUGUGGGAAGCAGGAGGGACCACCCUCCAAGGCUAAAUACUACCUAGUGACCGAUAGCGUAUAGUACCGUGAGGGAAAGGUGAAAAGAACCCCGGGAGGGGAGUGAAAUAGAACCUGAAACCCUGCACUUACAAGCUGUGGAAGCACAUUUCUUGUGUGACCGCGUACUUUUUGUAGAACGGGCCAACGAGUUACGUUAAGUAGCAAGGUUAAGCACUUAAGGUGCGGAGCCGUAGCGAAAGCGAGUUUUAACUGAGCGUUCAGUUACUUGACGUAGACCCGAAACCGGGCGACCUACCCAUGAGCAGGAUGAAGCGAAAGUAAAAUUUCGUGGAGGUCCGAACCCACGAGCGUUGAAAAGCUCGGGGAUGACUUGUGGGUAGCGGUGAAAUUCCAAUCGAGCCCGGAGAUAGCUGGUUCUCCCCGAAAUAGCUUUAGGGCUAGCCUCAAGGUGAGAGAUACGGAGGUAGAGCACUGAAUGUCCUAGGGGGUAUUGCACCUACCGAAGACUAUCAAACUCCGAAUGCCGUCAUCUUAUACUUGGGAGUCAGACUGUGGGUGAUAAGAUUCAUAGUCGAAAGGGCAACAGCCCAGAUCGUCAGCUAAGGUCCCUAAAUGUAAGUUAAGUGGUAAAGGAUGUGGGAUUGCACAGACAACCAGGAUGUUGGCUUAGAAGCAGCCACUCAUUCAAAGAGUGCGUAAUAGCUCACUGGUCGAGUGAUCCUGCGCCGAAGAUUUCCGGGGCUAAAACUU